GACUCAUUGUGGAAGAGGUGAGGCUGCAUGUGACUCCACAUAUGGGGAAACCACCAAAACUCAUCCACGGAUUUCAAUAGCAGGUCAUCACCUUCAUCCUCCUCUUCAGUUCCUGCAAAAUGAAGGAAGAAAAAGAAAGGUACAGAUCUUAACAGCACACAGCAGAGAGAAGUGCCGUGGCAGGAAAAGAGGAGACAGACAGAAGACUCGUUCUAGGAAGUGCUUCUGACAUGGGAGGAUGUGCCAACAUCUGGAAUCCUAGGGCUACAUGGUCAAGGUUAUGUGGCCCCAUCACCAUCUGAGGGAUAUAACUGAGAUUCUUGUCAAAAAUGGACUAACUUGCCAUUACUCAGUCAUCACUCAUGCAUCCUAGUGCUGUGUAGGGAUUCACUGCUGCAGAUUUUUCUUUUUUUUUUUAAUGUGUGUGGACAUAAAUGCUCAUUAUAUACAUUUUGCUAUUUAUUUAUCUAUACUGUAGGUAUAAAAUAUGUGCAAAUAUAUACAUGUAGAUAUUCUUUAUAGUAAUUCUUUCUAUAGAUGAUGUUUAUAUACACUGCUUAGUAAGUUGGACUUUGGGACAAGUUGCCCAGAGACGCUGGGAGAUCUCUGUCCCAUCAGAUACAAGAAACAGACGUGAACAAGAUCACCCAAAUUAUUUUAACAUUUGAU